UUGUAGAGGAUUAGAACAUGUGGGUCUCAA
rnacentral:piRNA from 1 species